rnacentral:rRNA from 1 species
CGGGGGGAGCAAGCGUUGUUCGGAUUUACUGGGCGUAAAGGGCGCGUAGGCGGCCACCGCAAGUCGGUUGUGAAAUCUCCGGGCUUAACCCGGAAAGGUCAAUCGAUACUGCGGGGCUAGAGUGCAGAAGGGGCAACUGGAGUUCUCGGUGUAGCGGUGAAAUGCGUAGAUAUCGAGAGGAACACCUGCGGCGAAGGCGGGUUGCUGGGCUGACACUGACGCUGAAGCGCGAAAGCUAGGGGAGCGAACGGGAUUAGAUACCCCGGUAGUCCUAGCCUUAAACGAUGAAUGCUUGGUGUCUGGGGUUUUAUAGUCCCCGGGUGCCGUCGCUAACGCUUUAAGCAUUCCGCCUGGGGAGUACGGUCGCAAGACUG